CACGUAGGCGGAUAUUUAAGUUAGGGGUGAAAUCCCAGGGCUCAACCCUGGAACUGCCUCUAAUACUGGGUAUCUCGAGUCCGAGAGAGGUGAGUGGAAUUCCGAGUGUAGAGGUGAAAUUCGUAGAUAUUCGGAGGAACACCAGUGGCGAAGGCGGCUCACUGGCUCGGUACUGACGCUGAGGUGCGAAAGCGUGGGGAGCAAACA
rnacentral:rRNA from 1 species